CCCCAGGCCCUCGCGGCCACCGCAGGACGUCGUCUCCACUUCGCAGCGCCCUCUGUCCACUGCGAUGCCCCCAGCCCACCGCGGCUCAGAUGGCACAAGGAUGAGCCCGUGGUCCGGGAGAGAACGAUAAGAAUCGUCACUGUGCUUUGCACUCUGUCAUUCUAAGUUUCUUCUCACGUGAGCUCAUGUAACGCGGACAGCGACCCUCGGUGAGACCCGGGGAGGCGCCACCUCCUUGGCCGCGGGCUCAGGCGCCGAGUCACAGGUCACGGGGACGUGGCCCCGCCCCGCUCUCCCCGCUCCCCACCCGCGUCCUUUUCCCCCCGGUACUCUGGGCUCCUCAGGCCCCUGACCGCGCAUCCCGGGUCCUCCACGCGCGCGACUGUCCCGCUCCCGAAGGGGCUUUCAGGGUGCUUCCUCCCUGACCCCUCAGGCCUGUCCUGGGGGUCCGCCCUGUAAAUAGCCCCGAGGAAGGAGCCCCAGUGACUUGGGUGGCGUUUUGGAAAUUCAGUGGAGUCUGCUGGCGGUAUUUUAACAAUGGGGGCCCUGCACCGGCCCAAGACACGGGUCAGCUCCGGGCUGGGCCAGGAGCCCCAUCUGGGGCCCCACACCCAUUUCUGGGAUUGGCCCCCACCCCGCCCCCGCCGCACACCUCCCGCCCCCGACGCUUCCGGGAGGUCUAAGCGGCUGCAGUGGGCGCGUUGGGAACGGCUCUAGGUGCGCGAUCCGGCUCCGGCCAGGUCCGCUACGCCUGGAGAGCGUGGAGGCAAGUUCUGCCGGCUCCACCUGCAAAGCAGAUCUCCUUCCCACGACUGUGCAGCCCCGCUGGCUCCAGCCCCACCAUACCCGCCUGAACGGAGACGGACCGCAGCCUGGGAGAGCCUGCACCGUUCUGAGUGCUGGACCUGUAUCCACUCGUCUCAUUACUACCACAGUCCGGUUCACAGAGCAAACGGAGGCCUCUGCGGAGAGUCAAGGGGGCCUCCCACAGGGAGGAUCACCUGGACAGACAGGAAGCAACCUGCAGGCAAGGUUGUUCCUGGCGGCACAGUCCAUGAGGCUAAGGUCUCCACGGAGAAGCGCUGUGCACCAAAGAGAGAUGCUGACAGCGCUGGGGUACACUGCUAGGUUAAAGAAAAGAAAAGGAAGGUGCCAAGCAGCACAUGAAAGACAACACUACCUGAGUAAGAAAGGAGGGAAUAUUUUGGCCGGGCGCGGUGGCUCAUGCCUGUAAUCCCAGCACUUUGGGAGGCGGAGGCGGGCGGAUCACAAGGUCAGGAGAUGGAGACCAUCCUGACUAACACGGUGAAACCCUUCUCUACUAAAACAAUGCAAAAACAAGUUAGCCGGGCGUGGUGACGGGCGCCUGUAGUCCCAGCUACUCGGGAGGCUGAGGCAGGAGAAUGGCGUGAACCCGGGAGGCGGAGCUUGCAGUGAGCCGAGAUCCGGCCACUGCACUCCAGCCUGGGCGACAGAGCCAGACUCCGUCUCAAAAAAACAAAAAGAAAGAAGAAAAGGAAGGGGAGGGGAGGGGAGUAUUUUAAAGAGUGUGGGUGUGUAUUUUAUAUAGACUUUGCUUAUUUUUUCAAAAAGAAGUCCUGUGGAUAUGGGCAGAGAGGAUGGAGGUGGAAGUGAGAUUUCUCUAGGCCAUUUUUUCUAUGACAUUUUUGAGAUAUAAUUCACAUAUCAUAUAAUUCACCCUUUUACUGUAUAUAAUCCGUUGGCUUUUAGUAUAUUCACAGACAUGUGCAACCAUUACCACAGUCAAUCAUAGAAUACUAUCUGAAAAGGAAACCCUGUACCCUUUAGCUAUCCCCUCCCACCCCCGGGAUAUUCCCCCAUUUGCUCUGGCCCUAGGAGCCACUCAUCUACGUGCUGUCUCUGGAUUUGCCUUUUCUGAAUAUCUCAUAUAAAUGUAAUCAAACAAUAUGUGGCUUUUUGCGUCUGUUUCGUUUCACUUAGCAUAAAUUUUUAAGUUUCAUCCAUGUUGUAGCAUGUGUUAGUACUCCACUCCCUUUGCUUUGCUUUGUUUGUUUGUUUGUUUGUUUGUUUGUUUUUUUCAGAUGGAGUCUCUCCCUCUGUCGCCUAGGCUGGAGUGCAGCGGGGCAAUCUCGGCUCACUGCAGCCUCCACCUACUGGAUUCAAGGGAUUCUUCUGUCUCAGCUUCUGGAGUAGCUGGGAUUGCAGAUGCCUGCCACCACACCCGGCUACUUUUUGUAUUUUUAGUAGAGACUGGGUUUCACCACAUUGACCAGGCUGGUCUCAAACUCCUGACCUCAAGUGA
rnacentral:lncRNA from 1 species